rnacentral:rRNA from 1 species
UCAGGCCUAACACAUGCAAGUCGAGCGGAAACGGCAGUAUUGAAGCUUCGGUGGAUUUACUGGACGUCGAGCGGCGGACGGGUGAGUAACGGCUGGGAACCUGCCCUGACGAGGGGGAUAACCGUUGGAAACGACGGCUAAUACCGCAUAAUGUCUUGAUUCGUUAGAGUCAGGACCAAAGGUGGCCUCUACAUGUAAGCUAUCGCGUUGGGAUGGGCCCAGUUAGGAUUAGCUAGUUGGUAAGGUAAUGGCUUACCAAGGCAACGAUCCUUAGCUGGUUUGAGAGGAUGAUCAGCCACACUGGGACUGAGACACGGCCCAGACUCCUACGGGAGGCAGCAGUGGGGAAUAUUGCACAAUGGGGGAGACCCUGAUGCAGCCAUGCCGCGUGUGUGAAGAAGGCCUUCGGGUUGUAAAGCACUUUCAGCAGUGAGGAAGGUCGUGUACUUAAUACGUGCACGGCUCGACGUUAGCUGCAGAAGAAGCACCGGCUAACUCCGUGCCAGCAGCCGCGGUAAUACGGAGGGUGCGAGCGUUAAUCGGAAUUACUGGGCGUAAAGCGCAUGCAGGCGGUUUGUUAAGUCAGAUGUGAAAGCCCGGGGCUCAACCUCGGAACCGCAUUUGAAACUGGCAGGCUAGAGUCUUGUAGAGGGGGGUAGAAUUUCAGGUGUAGCGGUGAAAUGCGUAGAGAUCUGAAGGA